GAUGAACGCUGGCGGCGUGCCUAAUACAUGCAAGUCGAGCGAACAGACGAGGAGCUUGCUCCUCUGACGUUAGCGGCGGACGGGUGAGUAACACGUGGAUAACCUACCUAUAAGACUGGGAUAACUUCGGGAAACCGGAGCUAAUACCGGAUAAUAUAUUGAACCGCAUGGUUCAAUAGUGAAAGACGGUUUUGCUGUCACUUAUAGAUGGAUCCGCGCCGCAUUAGCUAGUUGGUAAGGUAACGGCUUACCAAGGCAACGAUGCGUAGCCGACCUGAGAGGGUGAUCGGCCACACUGGAACUGAGACACGGUCCAGACUCCUACGGGAGGCAGCAGUAGGGAAUCGUCCGCAAUGGGCGAAAGCCUGACGGAGCAACGCCGCGUGAGUGAUGAAGGUCUUCGGAUCGUAAAACUCUGUUAUUAGGGAAGAACAAAUGUGUAAGUAACUAUGCACGUCUUGACGGCACCUAAUCAGAAAGCCACGGCCAACUACGUG
rnacentral:rRNA from 1 species